rfam:Ricinus communis cultivar Hale ctg_1100012326493, whole genome shotgun sequence.
CCGACCUUAGCUCAGUUGGUAGAGCGGAGGACUGUAGUAGUAGCUGUAAUCCUUAGGUCGCUGGUUCGAAUCCGGCAGGUCGGA